rnacentral:sRNA from 1 species
UAUUUAAAUAGUCCUUUAAAGUUCUUUGAGUGGCAGAGAACGUUUUUGGUUUCAGUCUGAGAAGGCUACCAAAUGGUUUAAGUUCAUUUCAUAGUUAGGAGAAAAAGAUUUUGAGUAGUCUAAUGUCGUCAGAAAGGAUUAAAACGUUGUUUGUACCAAGAAGGCAGAAUGAAGAAGGAUCACAUUCACAAAUGCUGUAUGUUUAACAAAAUACGUUUAGAUGGUAAUAUCCAAUAGUCUUAUCAAGUGCUACAAUCUUUUUAAACAGGGAAUGGCCAAAUCCAGUGCUAUUGAAACAGCCUGAAGAAUGCAAUCUUAAUUUGCCUGUAUGGGACCCAAGGGUAAACCCCAGUGAUAGGUACCAUCUUAUGCCUAUAAUUACACCAGCAUACCCACAACAGAACUCCACGUACAAUGUGUCCGUUUCAACACGGAUGGUCAUGGUUGAGGAGUUUAAACAAGGUCUUGCUAUCACAGAUGAAAUUUUGCUGAGUAAGGCAGAGUGGUCCAAACUUUUUGAAGCUCCAAACUUCUUUCAAAAGUACA